GGGCCCGUAGUUCAGUGGUAGAACGGCGGCCUCUUAAGCCGCAUGUCGGAGGUUCGAAUCCUCCCGGGCUCA
rnacentral:tRNA from 1 species